rnacentral:rRNA from 1 species
GAUGAACGCUGGCGGCGUGCCUAAUACAUGCAAGUCGAGCGAACGGACGAGAAGCUUGCUUCUCUGAUGUUAGCGGCGGACGGGUGAGUAACACGUGGAUAACCUACCUAUAAGACUGGGAUAACUUCGGGAAACCGGAGCUAAUACCGGAUAAUAUUUUGAACCGCAUGGUUCAAAAGUGAAAGACGGUCUUGCUGUCACUUAUAGAUGGAUCAGCGCUGCAUUAGCUAGUUGGUAAGGUAACGGCUUACCAAGGCAACGAUGCAUAGCCGACCUGAGAGGGUGAUCGGCCACACUGGAACAGAGACACGGUACAGACUCCUACGGGAGGCAGCAGUAGGGAAUCUUCCGCGAUGGGCGAAAGCCUGACGGAGCAACGCCGCGUGAGUGAUGAAGGUCUUCGGAUCGUAAAACUCUGUUAUUAGGGAAGAACAUAUGUGUAAGUAACUGUGCACAUCUUGACGGUACCUAAUCAGAAAGCCACGGCUAACUACGUG